rnacentral:rRNA from 1 species
CAAUAGCGUAUAUUAAAGCUGUUGCGGUUAAAAAGCUCGUAGUUGGAUUUCUGUCAAGGACGACUGGUCCGCCCUCCGGGUGAGCACAUAGUUUGGUCUUGGCAUCUUGCUGGAAGCUGUGCUGUGCUUGGCUGUACGGUACAGGGUCCAGCACUUUCACUUUGAGGAAAUUGGAGUGUUUCAAGCAGGCACAUGCCUUUGGACACAGUAGCAUGGAAUAAUUUGAUUGGGCUUCUGCUCCAAUUUGUCGGUUUCUGGAGCUGAGGUUAGAAUUAAUGGGGAUUGUUGGGGGCAUCCGAAUUUAGCCGUCAGAGGUGAAAUUCUUGGAUUUGUUAAAGACGGACUACUGCGAAAGCAUUUGCCAAGGAUGUUUUCAUUG